CCUACAUCUUCGCCCGAGCUGAUCCCUCUCCUCCUCCUCUCGUGCGACGCCGGUUCUUCUCCUCUUCCCCCAACCUGAUUGUCUCCUCCAGGCGCAGAUCCCUCUUCUCCCAUGUGUACAAAACCAUCGGCCAAGCUUCUUCCUUCCUUUCUCGGAGUCAUCUUCGGCCAAGGAGAGGAGUUGUGCCCUAGCUUCCACCCGAAUCCCCUUUCUUCGCCCUGAUCUGCUUCGACGCUGCAUGAGCCACUAAAUCACGUCGGCGCCGUCCAACAGGUCACCAGACGAGUCUCCGAUCUCCUCUACUCCUUCCCGGGAGUCUCACCUGUAGAUCUUCUCUGAAACGCUAACCCGUGCAAGUGAUCUUCGGUCGGGUGAGGAGAUUUGAGCUCUAGUGUCACUGGAGUUGAAUCGCCGAUUCCGGUGCUCAAUCUUGGUUAAAAAUUUACAUGCCAAGCGGCAGUAUCAUCUUUCCGAGCUCUAAAGAUGAGCUUCUCCCACCAAGUCUUGCUCCUCCAAUCUCUACAGCCAUUCGUUGUGGUUCCCGUCGUUGAGGUAGGAUAGGGUAAGAUAUUUUGGUUUUUGGGUUUCAUAGCUGUGGAGAUUUGAGAUUCGAUUUCAGUAUGGAUAUUAUGCUAACUGGGGGGUUAUUCUUGGCAGUCACUCUCUAUAAUGGUAAAUUUCACCCUGCCUGUACAGGCACUGCCCCAACCUCUCACAAUGAGAUGGUGGGACCCACUACUUAAGUGUGGGUCCCAUCAUCUCAAUGUGAGAGGUUAAGGCACUACCUGUACAGGUAGGAUCGAACUAACCCUCUAUAAUAGCCCCAGCCACGAACCUCCAAUAGCAGAUACCACCGGCUAGCAUUCCCAGCAGUUGCCCUUUUCGACCGUGGAUCAACAGGGGAGGCAUUGUGGUAGGGGAUAGCUGAUCAUGUGGUUUCGGAACGAUUGAGGAUAUAUGUUGAAUUCAAUUUAGGCUUCAGGACUUUGAUUCGAGACGAGCGUCUCGACCUGGAAUCUAUCUGUUACGAUAUCUAUUAUUGAGGCAGGUACCUGAUGAGUCAAAUUUGGUGAAGGAUGCGUGUUGGAGGUCAAAUCUGCAAGCAAAGCGAUGGAGGAAACCAUAAUACCUGAACCCCACACGGCCCUGCCAUGGGGGUUUGCCCAGGCCAUGUGGAGAUGAGAGGCCAUGUAGUUGCAGCAGAGAAAGAAGAUGGCUUGGCCGUAUGAACCUCACACGGUCGUGCCAAGUUUUGAAGCCCAAUGAAACCUAGGCCGUGUACAUCACACGACCAUGUCAGUUUUCUAGAGACCAGAGAAGCCUCGGUCGUGUGUGCUACAUGGCCGUGUGAGGUUUCCACUGAGCAAGAGAGUUCUGGCCAUGUGCACCACAUGGUCGUGCCAGGUUUCCAAAGGUGAAGGUAGUACAGGCCGUGUAGAUCUACAUGACCGUGCAAGGGGGGCAUUGGUAGAGGCAAGCUAUGGUCGUGAACCUCACACGGCCGUGCUUCGGGGUCGUGUGGAGCUCAAACCCCUCUUCUAUAUAAGGCUUCCUUCAAGAUUUGAAAGGGGAUCUUCUCCCCUUUGGGAGAAAGGAAGAUUUGGGUGAUUCCUUCCAUUCUUGGGUGGAUUUCUGGGCGAUCU